rnacentral:rRNA from 1 species
CCUACGGGGGGCUGCAGUGGGGAAUAUUGGACAAUGGGGGGAACCCUGAUCCAGCCAUGCCGCGUGUGUGAAGAAGGCCCUCGGGUUGUAAAGCACUUUCAGUGAGGAAGAACGCCUGGUGGUUAAUACCCAUCAGGAAAGACAUCACUCACAGAAGAAGCACCGGCUAACUCCGUGCCAGCAGCCGCGGUAAUACGGAGGGUGCGAGCGUUAAUCGGAAUUACUGGGCGUAAAGCGCGCGUAGGUGGCUUGAUAAGCCGGUUGUGAAAGCCCCGGGCUCAACCUGGGAACGGCAUCCGGAACUGUCGAGCUAGAGUGCAGGAGAGGAAGGUAGAAUUCCCGGUGUAGCGGUGAAAUGCGUAGAGAUCGGGAGGAAUACCAGUGGCGAAGGCGGCCUUCUGGACUGACACUGACACUGAGGUGCGAAAGCGUGGGUAGCAAACAGGAUUAGAUACCCGAGUAGUC